AUGAGAGCGAAGUUUCGGGUUACGGGACUCUUAAGAGCUUUUUUUUUUUUUUUUUUUUUUUUUUUUUUGGUACCUCCUUGGAUUAGUGUGAAAAGGGGAGCAGAGCCGUACAGCUGUCGCCUACUCUCGACUCCCCAGUUCCUGGCCACCCAGCUCCCCGAUCCCGAGAGGAUCCAGACAUCUCCAGAAAAACGGAGGGAACCCGCCAACAAAGCGGCCGUGGGACCGUGGGCGGUGUGGCAGCCAGGACCCCCCCCCCGGCUCUCUUCACGCCCUAGUAUAGAAAGGAACCCUGGUCCCGCCUCCAGGCUCCAAGCCUGGCCGCUCGGUCCCCACUGCUCACCUCCGCACCCCGCGCCUGCAAAGCCAACUCCGAGGGCCACCCGAGUCCACGCGCCUUCCCAGCUCCUGCUGCGGGCGCCGACUCUCCUCUCACCCCAGCCCCUGGCCCAACCUCCACGGCUGGGAAAAACCAAGCCGGGGGGCGGGGGAGGGCCAGGGCUGCAGGAGAGAUCGCCGCCGCGCUGGCCACCUCUGCUGCCCCAGGUGGAAGCAGAAGGAGCAGAAGUUCCAGCUCACCUUCGGCUACGAGAUGACUUUGAGAUGACCUGGAGAAAGACCCUGUCUUGAAACAAUCCCAGAAAGAAGAGCAGGCUGAGCCAUUGUCAAGCCAGCUCAUCAGACAGAUCACUGGAAGAAAAAAACCUGACAAGACGCCGCAAGAAAAGGAAACCACAGAGCGCGACCACGUAUGAUUGUAGAUGUAACAUCCUUCCGCUAAAUUAAACCUAAUCAAACCCAGAGACAAGCAAAAAUGACUGUAAUCCAUGACUACGCAGGAUUCACAUCUAGGAAUACAAGGAUGCUUAAAUGAAAAGAAAUUGACUGUGGCAAUACAAAUUACCAAUGGAAACAAAAGAAAACAAACAAACAGACAGAAACAAAAUAUGGCCAUACCAUCUGAUGUGGUAGAGUAUUUAGCAAUAUUCACCAUCCAGUCUGAUAAAAGAAAACACCCUGCCUAAUAUAAAUGAAAGAAGUCCCUAUUCUGGUUAAGAGUACCAGAAACCAAACUAAUACCACAAAGAGCACACCUACAAUGGCAUGUAAUGGCAGGAGAUAUGAUUUCCUGUUAUACUGAUGAUGCACAGGGGAGAAUAUGCUGCAGCCUUAAACAUUCAUAAAAUGAAGAGUUAUAUUUUUAAUUUCUUGUGAUUUUUUUUAUAUAAUAAAAAGUCACAUUGUCAGAGAAUAGAGUUGGUCUGUCUCCUCCUGCCUAGUCUGACUGCCUCAUGUUCUUGCCUGAUUGUCUUAUGUGGCAUGCCCAAUACAAUCUUGAAAAAAAGCUAGGUAAGAGCAGACAUCCUUGUUUUGGUAUUUACUAUCAUGUGAAACCAUUCUGUCUUUAAGCAUUAAAUGUUAUCUUAGCUGUGGAGUUUUACUUCUUGCUGCUAUUACUGUUUUUUUAUAUCUCAAUUUAAUAGAAUUUCAUUGACACACU
ensembl:processed_transcript 9330154J02Rik RIKEN cDNA 9330154J02 gene